GCUCCUAUAUCUUAAGUUCUAGGAAUCAGAAGGAUCUAACAGUUAGAUGUGCACAAGCAACUGUACCUUUUGUUAUUCUUAUUUCUCUUCUUUCUUAUCAGACUUUUCUCUAAUUGAUCCUUAAGCACAUCAUAUUGGGAGACCCUAUUUUAUUUUGUAUUACUUACAUAAUUGUUUUUGAACUUAUGUCUAGGUUGACAUAUGUUGUUGCUAGAGGGUGUACAAUCACAGUCUCUUAGUCAUUAUUUAUGUUUUUAUUAGAGGGUGUACAAUCACAGUCUCUUAGUCAUUAUUUAUGUUUUUAUUAGAGGGUAUACAAUAGCAGUAUCUUAGUCAUUAUUGAUAUAGUUAUAAUUGGCAUAAGUUAGUAAUGAAAGUGUGCAGAUGCAUGGUUUUAGAGUUAUAUGAUCUUAGAUAAAUCUGCUCUAUUAUGUUGUGCUCUUCUAUUCUUUUCUUCCUAUUGUGAUUAUCACCAUCACUAUUAUGUACUUUUUUCUUUCUUACAUUAAAUCUCAAACUGAUCUGAUCGAUAAAACCUGAUUCGAUUUUACUACAAAUCUUCGAGGGCUAUUUCCUGUCUAUUCCAUGACUUGUUCGCACGUCACUGUACAUUUUGUAAUCAAUAGCAACUAGGAACUCCAGACACUGCCCUCAUAUUCAUUUUUAUUUUA
rnacentral:lncRNA from 1 species